rnacentral:rRNA from 1 species
ACGUAGGGUGCGAGCGUUAAUCGGAAUGACUGGGCGUAAAGGGAGCGCAGGCGGUUUGUUAAGUCUGGAGUGAAAGCCCGGGGCUCAACCCCGGCGGGGCAUUGGAUACUGUCAAGCUAGAGUACGGAAGAGGAGAGUGGAAUUCCAGGUGUAGCGGUGAAAUGCGUAGAUAUCUGGAGGAACACCGGUGGCGAAAGCGGCUCUCUGGUCCGAUACUGACGCUCAUGCUCGAAAGCGUGGGGAGCAAACGG